rnacentral:rRNA from 1 species
AUGGUGGGGACUCAUAGGAGACUGCCGGGGUCAACUCGGAGGAAGGUGGGGAUGACGUCAAAUCAUCAUGCCCCUUAUGUCUUGGGCUUCACGCAUGCUACAAUGGCCGGUACAAAGGGCUGCGAUACCGUAAGGUGGAGCGAAUCCCAAAAAGCCGGUCUCAGUUCGGAUUGAGGUCUGCAACUCGACCUCAUGAAGUCGGAGUCGCUAGUAAUCGCAGAUCAGCAACGCUGCGGUGAAUACGUUCCCGGGCCUUGUACACACCGCCCGUCAAGUCACGAAAGUCGGUAACACCCGAAGCCAGUGGCCCAACCCUUUUGGGGGGGAGCUGUCUAAGGUGGGAUUGGCGAUUGGGACUAAGUCGUAACAAGGUAGCCGUACCGGAAGGUGCGGCUGGAUCACCUCCUUU